rnacentral:tRNA from 1 species
GGAGGGUAUGCGAAUUGGUGAGCGUCCUGAUUGGAAUUCAGGUGCCGGUUUUCCGGUUGCGGGUUCGAGUCCCGUGCCCUCCGC